AGCAGCCGCGGUAAUUCCAGCUCCAAUAGCGUAUAUUAAAGUUGUUGCAGUUAAAAAGCUCGUAGUUGAAUUUCGGGAUUGACCCAUCGGUCGUGCCUUAAGGGGUAUGAACUGGUGUAGUCAAUUUCUCACCUUCUGGAGAACCGUGAUGUCCUUAAUUGGGUGCCACGAGGAACCAGGACCUUUACUUUGAAAAAAUUAGAGUGUUUAAAGCAGGCAUUUUUGCUUGAAUACAUUAGCAUGGAAUAAUAAAAUAGGACGGCAUGAUUCUAUUUUGUUGGUUUCUAGGAUCACCGUAAUGAUUAAUAGGGAUAGUUGGGGGCAUUAGUAUUCAAUUGUCAGAGGUGAAAUUCUUGGAUUUAUUGAAGACUAACUACUGCGAAAGCAUUUGCCAAGGAUGUUUUCAUUAAUCAAGAACGAAAGUUAGGGGAUCGAAGACGAUCAGAUACC
rnacentral:rRNA from 1 species